GGAAUCUUCGGCAAUGGGGGCAACCCUGACCGAGCAACGCCGCGUGAGUGACGAAGGUUUUCGGAUCGUAAAACUCUGUUGUUGGAGAAGAACACGUUUGAGAGUAACUGUUCAGACGUUGACGGUAUCCAACCAGAAAGUCACGGCUAACUACGUGCCAGCAGCCGCGGUAAUACGUAGGUGGCAAGCGUUAUCCGGAUUUAUUGGGCGUAAAGCGAGCGCAGGCGGUUUGAUAAGUCUGAUGUGAAAGCCUUUGGCUUAACCAAAGAAGUGCAUCGGAAACUGUCAGACUUGAGUGCAGAAGAGGACAGUGGAACUCCAUGUGUAGCGGUGGAAUGCGUAGAUAUAUGGAAGAACACCAGUGGCGAAGGCGGCUGUCUGGUCUGCAACUGACGCUGAGGCUCGAAAGCAUGGGUAGCGAACA
rnacentral:rRNA from 1 species